rnacentral:SRP_RNA from 1 species
GCCAGGCAUUGUGGUGGACGCCUGUAGUCCCAGCUACGUGGGAGGCUGAGACAGGAGACUCGCUUGAGCCCAGGAGUUGGAGGUUGCUGUGAGCAUGAUGCCAUGGCACUCUACCCAGGGGGAUAGCUUGAGGCUCCAUCUCAAAAAAAAAAAUAAUAAUUAGCACACACCUAAAGCCUCAGCCUGGGCAACAUAGCAAGACCCUGUCUCUC